UGUUCAGAAAGUAGCCCUGACAGGACAUGCUGUUCCAGCAGAAGUGACAGAAAUGAAGAAAUCGGAGACAAGUCUAGGGUUCCAGGCCGAGCAACUAGAAGGGUGAUCCUGCCGCCUUACGGAGACGCCCAAACACGGGCACCCACGGGAGGAUGGGUGUGGGGCAGCCCUUCCCCGGGCCACAGGGACCUGCACAGAGCCCUUCCCCGAUACGACGGACCUUGCUUCGUAAAAUCCGAACCUCCUGGAUUAGCUCCCUGCUCCAUCCCUGGCCCCGAGUGCUUUGUAAAUUGUGCAGAAGCCACCAGAUCGAUUCUCCCUUCAAUGUCUGAAGAGCGUGUGCCUGGCAGGGUCCCAGCCUUGACCUCCGCGAACCCAUUCGAUCAUCACAACAUCGCAGAAAGAUGGGAACUGUUAUCACAUCUAUUCAUGGAUGGGGAAACUGAGGCCCAUCGAGGUGAAAUCACUCGCCUGGGAUCACACAGGAGGCAAGCUGCCAGGCAGGUUUUGACCCCAGGCAGUCAAGUCUGAGGCUCGUGCUUUUAACCACUCUACUGUCUCAUGAGGGGCUCACCACUGACGGUAAGAAGCCAAACUGGGCUUGAGGGACUCGGGUUGGGGGAAAGAGUUUCAGCCACCCCUUCCACGUAGUAAGGACGGUUGUCAUUUUCUGGGCACCUGCCCCGUGCCUCAUGCUGUCCCCAUGCUGUCUCUGUUCUGCAUAUCAGCCAAAGGGGUGGAUUCUAUGUGCCCAUUUUAUAGACAAGGAAACUGAGGUUCAGAGAGAGGAAGCGCCAUGUCCAAAGUCACACGGCCAGGCAUGAGCACCUGGGGCUCUGGACCCCGAGACCCCCUUCUGUCCCUUUCUGCACAUGUCACCUGCCUCUUGCCUUGGUGGUGAGGGAAGUGCUCAGGGACUUGAUGGCCGCAUCGAUUUCCUCCAGCUGGCUGGCAUAGGAUAAGGAAGCCAGGGAUGGGGAAGGUUAAUUUGGGGACAGCACUACCCUUCGGGUUUGCAGUUUCUGUCUGGUACACCCAACAUUUCUGAGGUGAGCUCUGGGCCAGCUGGAGAUUCCAAGGCAGGGGACACAGCCAAGUGUGUGAGAGAGGUUCAGGUCCUAGUUGCCUGUGAUGACAGAGGACGUGGUGGGUGGGGUUGUCACGGGGAGUUUGGGUCAGAAGCAGCUCCGAGGAGCCCAUAUUCACAAACCUCUGGCCUUGGCAGCUGACUUACCUCUCCAGACCUCAGUUUCCACCUCUGUGAAAUGGGUUGACAUCGCCUGCACCGGAAGGCUGUUGUUAGGUCUAAAGUUGUGCACCAGGAGGGCUCGCUCCCUCUCCAGCUGCCCACUGCUGCCUUCCAGGACAGAAAGAGCGCAGGACCCAGCACAUCGUAGGUGUUCGGGGGCCCUGGAGCCUGCUGGACACAUGGAGGAAAAGAAUGAACUUCUUUGGGACUUACCUUCGCCUGUGGAGUGAGUGCUUCCCGUCUAUUUUGCAGGUACACAGACCCUCUCAACCACCUGCUGAGGUGCGAACUAAGAUCAUCCUCCCUUAACAGGUAAGCAAAGAGAGGGCCAGAGAGGUUAUGAGCCGUAACCAAGGUCACAGAGCUAAGAAGUGGUGAAGCAGGGGUUUGCACGUGACUCCCUCUGCCCCCUUAGCAUGAGCUCUGCAAUCACAAGGCUGAAAUGCUAACAGCUUGCAUUUUGUUGAGCACUUACUUUGUUACACGUAUGAACUAAUAUUAAACUUGACCUCGAACGUAUGAGACAGGUGCUAUUUUCUCCCCGGUUCACACGUGAAGAAAGAGGCUCGGUAACUUACGCAGGGUCACAGGGCGAGGAGUUUGCAAAACCAGCGUUCAGACUCAUGGUCUUGAACCAGAAUGCUCUGCUGGAGACAGUGAGCGGGGACUGAAUGCCUGGCACACAGUAAGGGCCUCGGGAUGCGUUGACCCUUUUCGAAGAGCGUGUGGAGACAAGCCACACUGAGGUCUCGCUUGAGAAUUCGCUCUUCCCUCAUUUCCAUCCCUUCGUGUUGGGCCCACUUGCCGAGGACAAGCUGCCCGUGGGCCAUUUUCCCCCUUCUUCCCCUCCCUCCGGGAAAAUUCUGCACGGCACCCACUGGUCACGGGGCUUGUGGCCAGAGGGCUGGCUGCAGCAGUGUUUGGCCAGGUUAUCGGGUUUCGUGGUCAGCCACCUUCGCCCCUGACCAGAGCCGUCUUUCCAAAACAGAACAUUCAGUCACCGCCUGUCCCUGUGCUCAGCUGUCCUUGUGCCCCUGACCUCGCUUCCUGCCCACCCGCUCGGGGUUUUUCCCAGUAUCCUUGUCUCUUACUGACAUCUCACGAAGAUGACCCGAGCGUAGAAAAAAAAGAGAAACGGGCCAAGAGACACUGAGAGAUUCCCAAGACCAGUUAGUAUCUGACCGUGAAAGACAGACAGAUAAUGAGAGAAACAGAACGAGGAGACAGGGACGGAGAUGGAGAGACAGGUUGCCCCAGAGAAUACCCCGCGUCUCCCCGUGUCCCCGGCCUUGGCCCUCGAUCCACUGAGUCACGACCUCCCCCCAAAGCCGUGGCAUCUUCUCCCACCUCCCCCUGCCCCCUGAGGCCAGCAGGUCACUGGAGAGACACCCUACCCGCCCCUCCCUCACCCCCAUUCACAGUCCCUCACCUAACUAACUCCUGUUCAUCCCCCUUCCUCCAGGAAGUCCUCCCUGUUUCUGAAGGCCCCCAGUUGCUGUUGUUUGUUUAUGGGUGUGUCUGUCUCACUGGAACGUCAGCUCCUUGAGGGCAGGGACUCCGUCUUCCUUGCUCACCCAGCACAGCACCUGACACUUUGGCUGAAUCAAGUAUUAAGCCAGCUUCUCGUGUGUCACCCGGAAGAAGCCUUCCCUGAUAGCACUCCUCACUGUCUGCACUUCAUUGUGUGGCCACUUGAUUCAGGGUCUGUGUCCCCUCUGGUCCCAAGAAGGCAAGGCCUGUGGCUGCUCUGUUCACCCUUGAUUCCCCAGUGCCUGGAACGGUGCUUGGAACGGAGUAGGUAUUCAGAUACCGGUUGGGUGAAUGAAUGAGCAAAUGAGUUAAUCACUAGACUCGUUAUCUGGAGGUUUCGAUGCUUAUGUUUUAACCCACUGGAAUCCAGCUCAAAUUCUCCCCGCGACCAUUCACAUCAAACCCUGAGCCCUUCCUAAGGCCUGGGAGGUCCCGCGUGAUCUGGCCCCUGCCUCCCAAGUCCAGCCUCACCUCUGCCCCUCCCCUCCCCCUGGCACCAGUGUCUCUGGUUCCCCAGGGCACCGUGCACGGCUGGACACUCUCAGCCACCCCUUCACACCACACCAUCAGUCAUGUCAGCAGAGUUGGUUUUUUCUGUAAACAAGAGUCCCUAGGAGAAUGGGGCACAUUCGUACAAACAACCUCAAUGUCACCAGUGGACCUUGGUCACUGCGGGACAGUCUCCAAGGUUCGUCCGGCUAGCUGUCCAGGGCCUUGCCCUGAGACAGGGUCUGAGUCCUAGCCUCAGAAGGGCUGCCCGAGGGGCGCCUGGCUGACUCAGUCGGUUAAGCGUCCGGCUUCGGCUCAGGUCAUGAUCUCGCGGUCCGUGAGUUCGAGCCCCGCGUCAGGCUCUGUGCUGACAGCUCGGAGCCUGGAGCCUGCUUGGGAUUCUGUGUCUCCCUCUCUCUCUGACCCUCCCCUGCUCAUGCUCUGUCUCUCUCUGUCUCUCUCUCAAAAAGUAAAUAAACAUUAAAAAAAUUUUUAAAUAAAAAACAAGGGGGCUGCCCGGGUGGGAGGGAGGGGGUCUGCGGGGGCCCCUGAGUCUGACCUUCACCUUCUGCAGAAGGGGAGAAAGAAGCCUGCGGGGAUCCCAGGGAGCGGGGCUAACUGGUAGACCCCAGCUGAUCCUUGAGGCUCAGACCAGGACCCACUUCCCCCCCAGGAAGCUCCCCAGGCCACGUCCUUGCUUCUUUGGGUUCCCCCUCACACCCUGAAAGCAGCCUACAUCACAGCCUGUGGACGCUCUCUACUGGACCGUGCCCCUUAGUGGACAAGAGAAAUAAAGCUUCUGUAUCUCGAUAUCCCCAAAGCCAAGGUCUGCCAUGUGGGAGGCAUCAGCAAACAUGUGCAGACGAACAAAACUGUUAUUGAAUAAGCACUUCCUGUCUAGGCACAUAUUUACUGUCUCUCCACUAGGAUGGGAGCCCAAGGCCCGUCUCCUUUAUCUUUGUUCCCCAGGGUCUAACACCGCUUGACACGUAAGAGGCAGCAGGGAACGGGUGUGGAACAAAUGAAUGAACAAGCCCUUCCUCCCAUCCAUCAGAACUGCCUCCUGCUGCUGGGAGCUCCAGGAGGUCAAGGAGCAAAUCUGAUUUCUAGUGCCUCUGAGCCCAGCCUAGGGCUUAGCCCAAGGGAGAUGCUCGAUGGGUGUUUGUAGAUGGAGGGAGGGAGGGAGGGAUGGGCUGGUGGGGAUUGGAUUUACUGAUCAAUGGAAGAAUGGAAGGCUGCCUGGGGUGAUGAAUGGGAUAGGUGCAUGGAAGUGUGGGUGGGUGGAUGGACGGCGGAUAGAUAAAUGGAGAAAUGGAAGACGUCCAGGUUGAGAGUGUGGGAAAUGGUGCUUUCUACGCCCUGCCCCCUCCACGCACGCACCAAGCCGCCAUUUUAGAAGAGCUAAAUUGGAUCCAAAGAAUGACUCAGCUAGAGUUUCCAAGUGAAAGGUAUUGAGGAGAAAAACCGGGAGAAGAAGGAACCUCUGAGCCUCUGACACGUGCAAGCGAAUCCCUGUACGUUGGCCAUGCUUUCUUGCACGGUCCCGUUACUUCUUGAGAGCCUGCCGUGGGUAGCGCCCCCGGGUUUGUUCUGGAAGUGGAAAGAAGUUUCAGAUGUCGACUCUGAUCCUGGGCUAGACACAUGCCCCUUCAGUGGCUCCUCUUGUUGUAAAUGGGGUCUACUGACUCCUUUGCUGUGUGACUUCAGGUGGUUUACCUGACUUUUCUGAGUCCUGGUUUGCUCGCCCCGCUUUGUAGGGUUGUGGUGAGCCCGUGCCUGCGAGUCAGGCCUGCACUACAAUAGGUGACUGGUCAACAGUAAGCCGGGCCUCCGUGCGUGAUGCUGGCUGAACUUCUCAACUUUCCCAUCUCUUCCCGCCAACUCAAUGCAGUCGCCCACAGUGAGGGCCAUGAACCAGUGAGGGGAUCAGACUGAGACGUCCGUUAUACCUGGGUUCAAAUCCAGCCUCCCCCGCUCCCCAGCUACCUGGUUUCACACGACCCCCUUGCCCUGUCUGAACCUCAGCUCCCACCCCUACCUCUCCGGCCUCCUGGCUGUUGCUCAAACACAGCUGUCGCGCCUGCAUCCAGCAAGAGAGGCUGAGAAAAUGAGUUUUCUGGCAUCUACCUGGGGGAAGCGUGGGCUCCUAAGGUGGGUGCUGUCCCCCCAGAUCUGCUCUGAGACACAGAGCAGGGUGGAGGGAGGUCUGGAACUGCAGGCGGGAGAUAUCCGCUUCUCACCCCAUCUGGAGGAGAAGCGUCAUCCCAUCGUCCCCCGCUAUGGCACCGUCCUACCUACUUAUGUGUCCGACGGUUUAUAGUCCGUGACUUCACUCCCUUAUUGUCACUUAUUUUCUUGUCUGUUCUCCCAGCACUGAUGAUUGUCAACUCCGUGAGCGGCAGGCCUUUAUCUUGAUCACUUCCGUGUCCUCAGGGCCCAGUCAGGCACAUAGUUUGUGUUAAAUAAAUGGUUGAGUAACUAAAGAUAGAUGAUUGGAUGGAUGGAUAGGCGGAUGGUGGAUGGAUGAUGGAUGGAUGGAUGUGUGGAGGGAUGGACGGAUGCAUGUGUGGAUGAUUGGAUAGAUAGUUUGAUGGAUAGGUAGAUAAUGGAUGGUGAAUGGAUGGACGGAUGGAUGGAUGGAUAGAAGGUAGAUGGAUGGAUGAUGGAUGGUUGGAUGGAUGGAUAGAUGACUAGCUGGACACAUUAGAAUCAAUUGAGGAGCUUAAGUGGCUCACACACACACACACACACACACACACAGGUGCCCCAGCCCUGCUCCAAAAAUAAAAAUCAAAGCCAACACUUAAUGAGUGCUUACUGUAUACCUGGCCCCAUGUGCAGCCUAUGAUGUAGGGCAUUUCACUGAACCUCCCGGCCACCCUCUGAGCUAGUCACUAAUACUGAUCUUUCUUUUUUAGCGGACAAACCUGAGGCUCAGAGAGGCAGCCGCUGACCCCAGGUAGAGCCAAGGUUCAAGUCAAGAUGUGUUUGGUUCCAGAACCAAGCUUGGCCUCACCGGGCCAGCGCUCCCCAGGUGAUUCUGAUAUGCGGCCAGGUGGAGAACCCCUGAGCGGGGCAGUGAGUUCUGGGAAGAGUGUGCUGGCUUUGAGGCCAGCCGACGCCUGCACCGCCUUGCGGCCUGCCUCCGCCUCAUCUCUGACACGGAGGGGGUAGCACUCCCUGCCCCGCCCCCCGGGUUUCAGGAGCGGGGAAUGAGCUGAGCAGCGUGCCCACCAGAGAGCAAGCUCUGGGGACACGUCCUGCAAACCCCACAGGUACCAGCAGCGGCCACGCUGUUAGUCCCCGGACUGAGGGCCGGGGGGCCACCCUGCUCCUUCUCCCAGCUCCCGGGGGAGAGAGACAAGUCCCCGGCUUCCUAGCACAGAGCUUGAGAUGCGCUGCAGAAGACCCCUCGGGGACAGUCGGAGGCCACAGCGUGCGGGUGCAGAGCGGGGGUGCUGUGGCAAAGUCCUGCCCAGAAACCCGUCCCGCACAAACACGCGUGUGCACAGGUAUGCGACACAGCUGACCCCUGCCGUGCAGCUCACGACAGCGAAAGCCAGGAAACAAGCCUGAUAACGGUAACAGCUGAUGUGUGUUUACAGCAGGAUUUCUCAACUCAGAACUAUUGACACUGGGACCGGAUCACUCUUUGCAGCGGGAGUCUGACCCGCGCAUUGUAGACUGUUAGCAUCCCUGGGAUCGGUAGCACAGCCCCCCGUCCCGGUUGCCACGUGUCCCCUGGGGGGCGAAACCCCUCCCCUGGCUGUUGCUCUGUGCAGGGCCCUGGUGCACACACUUCAGGGGAGCCGCCUCCUCCUGCAGCCCCUCCCAGCUGGAGACGGUUCCACUGUGCAGAGGUGAGAUUAGCGGUUUGGCCAAGGUCGGGGCGCGGUCGCUCCCGGAGCGCUGUGAUCUGAACCUGUGACAAGUCCCAGGCCCCUCUCUUCCGAGCCAAUUUUUUGCGGGUUCCUUGGGCGUUUCCCCGGUCCCAAUCAUGUUGUCUGGGACUGGAUGUCGUCUCAUUUCUGCUUUUCCCAUCUGGCUGCCUUGGCAUGUUCGAGAACAGACUUGCGGGGCACGAAUACUGGCUCGAGCAGAUUCUGUGACGUGCGCAGCAUUGUUUCUUUAAGGAAGUUAAAUUUGCUCAAUUAUCCACGGCCUGGAAAAUGCAGAAUACAAAGAAAAAAAAUAAAAUGUCCCACCGGACUUCCCACAGAGGCCCACCUUUUAGCAGCUUCUUCCUCUGAGUAGCUCCCUCUGUUUUGAAGUUUUGUCACAAAGCUGCAGUCUCACGAUAUAUACAACUGCGAGUCCUGCAUUCCCCAAACUAGAAGCUGGGUUUUUUUUUCGUGUUGUUACAAAAUCCUCUUGGACGUUGUUUGUAAUUGUUGCCGAUUGUGGCAGAGACCCCAGUUUCUCCUCCAUUCCCCUGACCUCUCCCUCUUCUUUCAUAAUAGAAAUCUCAAGUUUUAGCUGGGCACGUGGCCACCCAGAAGAAGAAAAAAAACUACGUUUCCCAGCUGUGUCCAUGUGACUCAGUUCUGGCCAAUGAGACAUAAGUAACCUCUAAGUAGUGUCCUCAGGGCGAGGGUGCCUGCUCUUCUUCCUAUCCUCCUUGCUGCCUGGAAUGCAGAUGUGAUGGCCAGCAUCUGAGUGGCCAUCUUGGGCCAUGGUGGCGCAACAAGAGAAAAGACAUGCGAAUCCCUGGUGAAUUUAUGACGACACCCUACCAGCCCUGGACUGCCGCCUCCACACUUCUUUUAUAUAAGGGAGAAACAAACUUCUGUUUCAUCUAAGCCCCUGGCAUCUUGGGCUUUUAGCCGCUCAAAGAGGAACCUAAUCCUGAGUAUUGCACUAAUAUUUUGCUGGAGGAAUUGUCUCUAAUUCUUUUAGGAAUUACCACCUAAUUAGCUCAACCGUUCCCUGGUCAUUGAGCAUUUAGGUAGUUUCUGACUUCCUGCUACUCAUAGCCAUUAUCCCAGGUGGGCCCCCGAGUCAGGACGGCAGGCUACGCAGCCAGGUACGAGCUGCCCAGGGAGCCUGCUUUGUUGCUGAGGACCCUCCCACUGCAUCUGCUAGAUGCACGGUGCGUUCUCCUCCACACCUCCCCUCCUGUCCUCCUCUUCUGUUUUUAAUGUUCAUUUAUUUAUUUAUGAGAGAAAGAGAGGGAGAGUAUGAGCGGGGGGAGGGGCAGAGGAAGACAGGGGGACCGGGGCUCGAACUCGGGAACCGUGACAUCGUGACCUGAGCUGAAGUCAGACGCUUAACUACCUGAGCCACCGAGGCGCCCCCCGCCCAUCUCUUCUAACGGCACAUCUCAAGGAGGCCUGUCUCCCUGGUGAAGCCCAAACCCCACGCCUGCCCCAAGUUGCAAGGGAGGCUGGGAAAGUGAGUUUUCUGGCAUCUCCCUCCGGGAGUGUGGCCACUAGGGAAGGAGUUUCCCUGAAGCGGGUAUGCAAGGUGAGGCGUGGCCAGAAAGCAGGGCGAAGCUGAGCUCACUAGGCAAAGACCCGCCAGGCUGGGGAGGAGUACGGAAAGCCUUCUGCCAUCACUUUUGAUUUGUCCUCCUCUCAUCCCGAAAGGACAGCAGGC
rnacentral:lncRNA from 1 species